GGAGAGGUCCCCGUAGUGGCCUAUCGGGGUCCGGGUAUCCACCCGGUCGGGUCUUUGGCCCACGCAGGUUCGAAUCCUGCCCUCUCCG
rnacentral:tRNA from 2 species